UAUUGCCCAAAAUCACACACACAGCUAGUAAGUGGUGACAGUAAAAGUGGAACUCAGCCAGAAGGCAUAUCAAUAUGGUGAAUGGUACACUGAAGGCAAAAGAAGGAAAACAAAAACACACUUGAUGUUUUCAAGCAAAAAGGCUUCAUUUCUCAAAACAAACAUUGCCAGCAGGUGCAAAGUACAAAUACGUUCACCAUCCAAUCCUUGUCGAUGAAGCUGCCAAGUGAAAAUGUGUUUCCACAGACAUGGACAGCUGGGAGUGGCUUGCACAAGGAAUAUCCACUUGAAAGCCAUGCCUUUACUGACCAGGACAUCUGGACCCAGUGAAUUUUUUAUACAGUGCAGAUUUGAAAUGAAUGUGAAACAUCUGUUUAGCAGUCCCACAAAUGGAUUUUACGUGGCUAGUAUAUUGAAUGUGAUAGGCUACCAAAUGUUUUCUGCAUUCUGUAUUUGUUCAUACACGUCUUUGCAUCCUUAGCAUUUUAUUCAGUUUUCUGUGGUAUGGAAUAAAAGCUGUCUCAUAUCCAUAAUUAUAUUAUAUAUUGAGUGUCUGUGUAGGGCUUGGGGAUGCUGCCAUUCACAUUUAGGGACACCACAGACACAAGCCAUACUUCACUUGUAUCUUGGACACUUCCCUGGAUUAAUCUAAGAUAGGGGCAACAAACCCUAGAAAGAAAGAAAUCUGACUCUCUUUAGCCAAGGUUUAUAUGAGCCCAGAGUCCAUUGCUGGGGCACCCUGGGCUCACAGAUGAGGAAAAUAAAAUCUGAAGACAGGAAAUGGCUUCUCCAUGGUUGCCCGGCAAGAUAGUGGCAAAGCCAGAAAUCAAGCUCUCCUAAGUCUGUUUCACAUUCCUUUACAAUACUUUGCUAGACUAUGAAUGCUAGCUAUGAAUGGUUAAACAUAUUUCCCCGUUCCAGGAAGGUUACUGAAUGUUACAAAAGAAAAAAAAAGUGUUUUUUUUUUCCUAGAACCUUCCAAAUAGCCAUUUGGAUUAAGAUUUUAGAAAUUUAUAGAAUAUUAAAGGGGCCAGGAUUCCUAUGAUAGAGCAUAAGUGUGGGAUGAGGCCAAUGUUCUUGCCACUAUUCCAUAAUUAAUAUAUAUGUGCUAAACACCGUUAAGUCAGAACUAAAAAAUAAUUCUGUUUAUUACAGUACGUGAAUGCUCUUCACUGCCAUCUAGUGUCUACAUCUUGUAAUAAAUUUAUUUUUAUCUAGGCAAUAUGGGGGAUCACAGAAUCGUAGACUAUUGGAGCCGGAAAAAUUACCUAGCCAAAACCUAUCUGACAGAAAAGGAAAAUGAGAUCAAAAAAGGUGAAGAACUUGCCCAAUUUCACACAAAUUGCUAAGAAAGACCUAAGACUAGAAUUCAGUUCCUGCCUCCUAAUCCACGCCUCAGUUCAUCACAGGAAAAAUUAUCACAGGCCUGGAAGCUAGAUGAGCCCCCAUACAAUCACAGAAUCUCAGAACUAAUAGCAAUAUCAGAGGCCAUCUAGCCCAACCCAUACCUAAACGGAAAAUUCCUCUACACAUGUCUGAGAAGUAACAUCUAGCCUUUGCUUGAAGAACUCCCCAAUGAGGGGAGCAAACUGCUUCCCUAGGUGGCAGCCCAUUUUACUUUCAGAUAGCUCUAAUUUUUAAAUUUUUCUUAAAUCAAGCAAAAAUCUAUCUCUCUGCUAUCUCUACCCAUUGUUCCCAGUUCUGGUACAAAGACAAUUUAAAUCAUUCUUCCAUAUGAUAGCCCUUCAAAUGAAUGAAUGAAUAAAUAAAUGAAAAAGCAUUUAUCACGUGUUUAUUAUGUACCAAGAAUCAUACCAAGUGCAAACAAGAAGAAGAAGAAGAAGAAGAAGAAAAAGAGAGAAGGAGGAG